GUGCGGAGGAAGGAAUGCGCAGAUAGAUGCUGGAGUAACUCAGCGGGGCAGGCAGGCAGACAGACAGACAGGGCAGCUCUGGAGAGACCCUGGCCCUCUACCGCCAGUUGGGGAUGGAAGGAAGGAGUCGCUGAGCCUCCCCACCCCUCCCUCCAUUUUGGGCUCUAGCGCAGCAAUGAGGUCAAUGUGAGAACUGCAGGCUCUUCCACAGAUGGGGCAGUGAUGGGGAUUCACCCUCAGUACAACAUGUAUCUUUGCAUGAAAUCCUUCUUAUGGAAUGUAGGACUCUUUCCAUACAUCAUCCUCAAGUAGCAUUCCUUCAUUAAUUCCCACCUGAUAUUUCACACUAUACAUCUUACGUGACUGCUUUGAGUCAGUGGACUGGUCCAUUUUCAGGUAUUCUGCAGACAACCUGAAUGUGUAAGGCUCUGCCAUAACUGACUUCAUCAGCAAGUGUGUAGAGGAGAAUAUGCCAACAAGGACAAUCCAAGUGUUUCCCAAUGAGAAGCCAUGGAUGAACCAUGAGGUGCAUUCACAGGUAAGGCCAGGUCCGCUGCAUGCAAGUCAAAUGAUCCCGAGCGAUACAAGAAAGCUCGCUAUGAUCUUCGCAAAGCUAUUAAGGAUGCCAAGAGACAAUACCAGGACAAAUGUGAGUCCCAGUAUAAUCAUUCGGAUACACACUGAAUGUGGCAAGGUCUAAAUACUGGCUGCAAAGUCAAGUCAGGCAACACCACUUGAGCCCUACCUGAUUAACUUAAUACUUCCUAUACUCGCUUUGAGCAGAAGGCCAAUGGAGCAAUAUCAACUGUCCCAUCAGCCUCAAGUGUGCCUCUUCCCAUGGUCACUGUUGCAGAAAUUAGAUCGGCCUUCCUGAAAGUGAACCCACGGAAAGCAUCUGGCCCGGACAGAGACCCUGGCCUUGUCCUUUGAAGGUGCGCGGACCAACUAGUGGGGGUAUUCUGGGACAACUUUGAUAUCUCCUUACUCGGUUCUGAGGUACUCACCUGCUUCACGAAGACCACUAUCAUCCCAGUGCCGAAGAGAAGAUCUCAUUCCUUAACGAUUACUGUACAGUGGCCUUGACAUCCACCAUCAUGAAGUGCUUUGAGAAGCUGCAGGAGAGGAUGAGAAUAAACUCAACAUUCACAAAGCAAAAGACUUUUGCCAACCUGUUUCAACUGUAAAAUACCAUCCUCUGACACUAAAAGUUCCCAACAAUAACCUGGAAAAUCUUUGCAUUUUUCACCUCUGGCAUUAAUUUUCAUCUUCCACAUAUCUGGUUAUCACCAUCUUCUUUACAGUUCGCAAAACUGCCAGAUUUGAGUCACAUGCAAAUUUAAAAUUAUGGAUUGCGGCCAAAGUCCAGGUCAUAAACCAUAACAGUCAAUGGCCUUAACACUGUUUCUUAGGUAUACAUUAUAGUGUUAUAGCAGAACUACCUGGAUGUGGUGCUUUGUUAUUAUUUACAGAGCACUGCUGAGGAAUGAAUAGUAUUGUUACAAAAGGUUACAUUUCUGACGCUCUGUUGUCUGUUACUAAGCCAACUUUAUGUCCAUGCCAUCAAUAUUAUUAUGUUUUGCCUCAACUCUGCUGAUAAGACAUGGUACUUUAUCAAAAACCUUAUGGAAGUGAUUACAGUGACUACAUUAACCUCAUCAAUUCUAUCCAUUACCUCAUCAAAAUAUUCUAUUUAAUUCAUUAAACAUGAAUAGCUAGCAACACAUCAGUGCUGGCUUACCCCAA